GUCUUUUUGUUAAUAAUUUAAAGUCUAAUCUGCCCACUGAUAUAUUUAUUAAAGGGCUGCAGUAUUUUGACUGUACAAAGGUAGCAUAAUCAUUAGUCUUUUAAUUGGUGACUUGUAUGAAAGAUUGGAUGAAAUAUAAACUGUCUCUUUUAUAAAAAAAAAAUUGAAUUUAAUUUUUUAAUUAAAAAGUUAAAAUUAUUUAAAAAGACGAGAAGACCCUAUAGAGUUUUAUAAUUUAUUUUGUAAAUAUUUUUAUUUUUAUAUUUUUAUAAUUUUAAAUUACUUUGUUGGGGUGAUAAAAAAAUUUAAUUAACUUUUUUUAAUAGUUUACAUUAAUAAGUGACUAAAUGAUCCAAUUUUAUUGAUUAAAAGAAAAAAUUACCUUAGGGAUAACAGCGUAAUUUUUUUUUUUAGUUCAAAUAAAAAGAAAAGUUUGCGACCUCGAUGUUGGAUUAAGAUAAAAUUUAAAUGUAGAAGCUUAAAAUUUUGAUCUGUUCGAUCAUUAAAAUCUU
rnacentral:rRNA from 1 species